GUGAACGAGCGACGCCGCGUGGAGGAGGAAGGCCUUCGGGUUGUAAACUCCUGUCGAGGGGGAACAAGGGCUCGUGCAGAACGAGCCUUGCGUGGUCCCUGGAGGAAGCACGGGCUAAGUUCGUGCCAGCAGCCGCGGUAAGACGAACCGUGCAAACGUUAUUCGGAAUCACUGGGCUUAAAGCGCGUGUAGGCGGCCUGAUGCGUCCGAGGCUGAAAGCCCCCGGCUCAACCGGGGAACGGGCCCGGAUACGAUCAGGCUCGAGGGGGGUAGGGGGAGCCGGAACUUCCGGUGGAGCGGUGAAAUGCGUUGAGAUCGGAAGGAACGCCCGUGGCGAAAGCGGGCUCCUGGACCCCGCCUGACGCUCAGACGCGAAAGCCAGGGGAGCGAACGGGAUUAGAUACCCCGGUAGUCCUGGCCGUAAACAAU
rnacentral:rRNA from 1 species